rnacentral:lncRNA from 10 species
GGAACAGAGGCUCCUCCCAAGGCUCUUUCUGCCUCUGGAUGUUGGUGUUGAUGAUGUGAUGUCUGGAGCUGUUGCAACCGCCUUGCUACCAGCUCAGGGCAGAAGCUUCAAGAACAGAAAGGCAAGGCUGAGAGAAUCCCAGGGAAGCAGAGCUACAUGCUGGGAGUUCUGUUCCUGAAGCCUGCCUCACCCAGGGGCUUCUUAUCAUGAAGGGUGGAUGGAUGGACUGAUGGGGUCAAAGCCAGUGGCAUCAUGAACAGGAAACAACUUUUCUCUCAAGCUGCAGGUUUGAAAAGUCAAGCAGACUCUUCCUUGGCUGAUGACUGCUUUCUGACUCAAUGGAAGACCUUGUUCUCUAGCGUCAGGGCUGUCAGAAACUUUGCUUAUGAGUAAGAAGAACAUCCCACUGCUUGGAGGAUCUAGGUCCACCUUAAACCAGAAGCACAGAGCUACAGAGAAGGGGUUUCUAGAAAGAAUCUCCACAUCUGGCUGGACUUUAUGGGUUCUGAGGACACAGGACCUAGGUCCACUUUGCAGACCAGACCAUACCUGACCCUGGCUCCUUUACACGGAGGCCUGCCAUGCUCUGAGUGCAUCAAUCCAGCCUCAAAAUCCCUCCUUCCAAUCCUAUGAUAACUUCUUUUCCUUUGUUUGUCGAGUCAUCUGAGGAUCCUUGAUGUGACUGUAUUCCCUUAUUGCAACAAGCCAAUAUUGAAUGUGUUGACUACAGUACUGAUUUUGGUGGCUGGUUGCACUAGGAUAUGUGUUAUUUUCUGGAUUUUGUAGAUGUUUGUAGUAUAUCUCAGCAUUUUAAAAAAUGAGUAUUUUGCUGUAAUUUGUUUUCUCUUCGUAAAUAAACAUUAACUUUUGUGCUUUCUUUUGUAUUGCUAGUAUUGCUCUAUUUUCCAUGCAGGGAGCCCCUAUAUCACAGGAGCCUCAGGCCUCACAGCAUCUUGAUCCAUCUGUGCUUGUUGUGCCGAGCGUCCACCUGCCCAGGGAAAGGCUGCACUGUCUCACACUUCCCAGGCCUCCG